rnacentral:rRNA from 1 species
UACGUAGGGGGCAAGCGUUGUCCGGAUUUAUUGGGCGUAAAGAGCUCGUAGGUGGUUCGGUAAGUCGGAUGUGAAAUCUCCAGGCUCAACCUGGAGGGGUCAUUCGAUACUGCCGUGACUAGAGGUCGGUAGGGGAGUGUGGAAUUCCUGGUGGAGCGGUGAAAUGCGCAGAUAUCAGGAGGAACACCUGCGGCGAAGGCGGGUUGCUGGGCCGACACUGACGCUGAUGCGCGAAAGCCAGGGGAGCGAACGGG